GACGAACGCUGGCGGCGGGCUUAACACAUGCAAGUCGAACGGAAAGGCCCUGAGAGUGUGGGGUGCUGGGGGGGCGAACGGGGGAGGAACACGAGAGUAACCGAACCUAGACUUUGGGAUAACUUCAGGAAACUGGGGUUAAGACAGGAUAGGAGAUGCCGUAGCAGGGUGGGGAGUGGAAAGUUGCGGCGGUUGGGGCUGGACUAGCGGCUUAUCAGCUUGCUGGUGGGGGAGGCGCUUACCAAGUCAUUGACGGGUAGCCGGCCUGAGAGCGUGACCGGCCACAUUGGGACUGCGAUACGGCCCAGACUGCUACGUGAGGCAGCAGUGGGGAAUCUUGCCCAAUGGGCCGGAGCCUGAUGCGGCGGCGCUCGGUUCGUGAUGACGUCCUUUGGGUUGUAAACCGCUUUCGCCUGUGACCACGCGUUAGUGACGGUACCCGGUAAAUAAGCACCGGCUAACUUCGUG
rnacentral:rRNA from 1 species